CUCGAAGGCCAAAUGACUGGACGGAUGGAGUUACAUCCAUAAACAAACGACUGUCCUCGUGCAGAGUAUUUACCUAAGAAGACCCGAGGACACCCAUACCUGGUCUACUGGACAAAUCCUGGUUGUCACAGCGACGUCAAACAGAAAGCCAACACCUGCUCCCCCGUUCCUGUUAUAUUAGACACAUGGACUCAGCAAAAUGGCUGAUGACCGAAAUCUUAUACUUAUCAUCAUACACAGAUACACUGCCAAUAACUGCCUUACCUGAAACUGGCUUAAUUACUGGAUACAUCGCCGUGAGGAACAUAUUACGCAAAGGCAAAGCAAAAAA